rnacentral:tRNA from 1 species
GCCCCGCUGGCGGAAUUGGCAGACGCGGUCGGCUCAAAACCGGCUGCCCUCGGGCGUCCCGGUUCGAGUCCGGGGCGGGGCA